rnacentral:rRNA from 1 species
UACGUAGGGGCCUAGCGUUGUCCGGAAUUAUUGGGCGUAAAGAGCUCGUAGGCGGUUCGGCAAGUCGGAUGUGAAAUCUCCACGCUUAACGUGGAGGGCCAUUCGAAACUGCUGUGACUCGAGUCCGGUAGGGGAGUGUGGAAUUCCCGGUGUAGCGGUGAAAUGCGCAGAUAUCGGGAGAACACCAGUAGCGAAAGCGGCACUCUGGGCCGGUACUGACGCUGAGGAGCGAAAGC